rnacentral:rRNA from 1 species
UACGAAGGGGGCUAGCGUUGCUCGGAAUCACUGGGCGUAAAGGGCUCGUAGGCGGCGUGUCGCGUCGGGAGUGAAAGCCCGCUGCUUAACGGCGGGUUGGCUUCCGGUACGGGCAUCGCUGGAGUGCGGCAGGGGAGACUGGAAUUCCUGGUGUAGCGGUGGAAUGCGCAGAUAUCAGGAGGAACACCGGUGGCGAAGGCGGACUCU